rnacentral:rRNA from 1 species
GGGUUGUGAGGUUAAGUGACUAAGCGUACACGGUGGAUGCCUAGGCAGUCAGAGGCGAUGAAGGGCGUGCUAAUCUGCGAAAAGCGUCGGUAAGGUGAUAUGAACCGUUAUAACCGGCGAUACCCGAAUGGGGAAACCCAGUGUGUUUCGACACACUAUCAUGUCAUGAAUACAUAGUGGCAUGAGGCGAACCGGGGGAACUGAAACAUCUAAGUACCCCGAGGAAAAGAAAUCAA